rnacentral:rRNA from 1 species
UACGUAGGGUGCGAGCGUUGUCCGGAAUUAUUGGGCGUAAAGAGCUCGUAGGUGGUUUGUCGCGUUGUUCGUGAAAACUCACAGCUCAACUGUGGGCGUGCGGGCGAUACGGGCAGACUGGAGUACUGCAGGGGAGACUGGAAUUCCUGGUGUAGCGGUGAAAUGCGCAGAUAUCAGGAGGAACACCGGUGGCGAAGGCGGGUCUCUGGGCCGAUACUGACGGCUGAGGAGCGAAAGCCCAGGGGAGCAAACGGG